rnacentral:rRNA from 1 species
AUGGCGCUGCGCUCUCCCUCCAGCACUCGUCGGCAGGAUUGGCCGCCCGCGGACUCUCCGCCUCCCACCUAUCAGUCUUACCAGGGUGGAUCCAGCAAUGGAGCUGAAUCUGAUUUUGCUAGGAAGACGAAACAGGAGGUUAAUCAUUUGUUGGCAAAAUUAGAAAAAAAAGGAGUGGAGAUAGAUGGCAAGGUAGCUAGUAUUAUUGGCGAUGGGAUAACUAGAAUUAAAGUUGAAGCUGCGUGGGAGGACUUCGAUGAAUCAAACACGAAGCUGAUGGCAGCACUGCUCACUGCUGCAUCUAUGGCUGUUGGUUUCAUCAUGGGUUUAGACUGGCGAGAAAAUUGCUUCCGUAAGCAGUUUGACAAGAGGAGACAUACUUAG